AUUGAACGCUGGCGGCAGGCCUAACACAUGCAAGUCGAACGAGUGGCGGACGGGUGAGUAAUGCCUGGGAAUCUGGCUGAUGGAGGGGGAUAACUACGGGAAACUGUAGCUAAUACCGCAUACCAUCGGAUGAGCCCAGGUGGGAUUAGGUAGUUGGUGGGGUAAAGGCUCACCAAGCCGACGAUCCCUAGCUGGUCUGAGAGGAUGACCAGCCACACUGGGACUGAGACACGGCCCAGACUCCUACGGGAGGCAGCAGUGGGGAAGAUUGCGCAAUGGGGGCAAGCCUGACGCAGCCAUGCCGCGUGAAUGAAGAAGGCCUUCGGGUUGUAAAGUUCUUUCGGUAGGGAGGCGUUAACUACAGAAGAAGCACCGGCUAACUCCGUGCCAGCAGCCGCGGUAAUUC
rnacentral:rRNA from 1 species